ensembl:rRNA 5S_rRNA 5S ribosomal RNA
GCCUGAGGCUUCCCUUGCCGCCACGCUGUCCCCUCUGAUCUCGGAAGCUAAGCAGGGUCGGGCCUGGUUAGUAUUUAAAUGGGAGACCCACUGGGAGUUAUGAGCUCCCGACC